GCAGACAAAAAUUUAAACCCUCGGUGUGAAUACAGCUUCAGACUGACUCAGACCAAUGACUGCUUACUGACGAUCUCUGUUUCCAACAUGGCAAAAUGAUGACGAAUGAAUUGCCUUCAUUUGGUUGGAGCUGGAAGUAAGCCAUUUUCACUACGUUCAACAUCUUCACCAUCUUCCCAAUUCAAACCACGCUGCUGGAAUGAGCACAGGUGUCUCUACACACUCAAGCAAGUGAGGGUCAUUUGAAAGGGUGAGGUUUUUGUUUGAACUGAACCAAGCAUUAGGCUGGUUAUUCGUGUUUCAGCUUAAAUCAAAACAAAUUUGUUUUUAAAGAAGAAGAAACAUGUUUGAUGUCAAACCGAGUAAAAGAAUCCAUUAAUUAAAAGUGGAAGACUGAAUAACUUGCCCAAGGUAAAACCUUUCUCCAGAAAACAUCUCUUGAAUUCAAAUAAGUGCCUCUAAUUUUUAAUUUUUUUAUUUUUUUGGCAGUUAAAUGAAAACAAAAUCCUACCAAUUAUCAUGAAUAAGCAGCUCGUAUGUUUGCAGGUCAAGGGCGGAGUCUGUACCUGUGCAUUUCUUCAGGCUGCCGGGGCGUUUUCCGUGCAUUCCCAGUUUACAGUUGAAGUUCUCCUCCCAGAAUUCAGCAAACCAAACGUUCCUCCUGUUGUUGGACAGCGAGCGGCUCCGGAAAUACCGGUCAAACGCUAAAUGAGGAGAAAUAAAAAGAAGAAAGAAACAACUGAUGAGGAAGAAUUUCCCCUUAGAUCGAAGCUUCACCACAGCUCCUAUAUCUCAUUAAAUAUGAGCGGGGUAGCAGAGCUGAAAGGGGUAACAGAGCGUGCCGGCGCUAAGAAAAAAAGUUCACGGCUGGGUAAUACUCUUUGACACACGGAGACACCUGUUAGGAGUGUGUGACUAGAAAACCAAUUCCACUGGACCAUUUUAAACACUUUUUUUUUCUCGAAAUAAUUGAACUCUUGUCUAAAUUUAGAGCUACAAAACU